rnacentral:rRNA from 1 species
AUCCGGAGGGUGCAAGCGUUAAUCGGAAUUACUGGGCGUAAAGCGUGCGUAGGUGGUUUGUUAAGUCAGAUGUGAAAGCCCCGGGCUCAACCUGGGAACUGCAUUUGAAACUGGCAUACUAGAGUAUAGGAGAGGAAAGUGGAAUUUCAGGUGUAGCGGUGAAAUGCGUAGAUAUCUGAAGGAACAUCAAUGGCGAAGGCAGCUUUCUGGACUAAUACUGACACUGAGGUACGAAAGCGUGGGUAGCAAACAGGAUUAGAAACCCUUGUAGUCC